ACAGAACAGAACUUUCCACAGUAUCCUGAUGUCAAUGCGAGUGUGUUCCCUGCAUUUUCAUUCUGGAAAACCAGCAAAUGAAAUGUACACCUCGCAUCCGGAUUGGGCACCAUCACUACACUUGGGCCACACUGAGAUAAAGGCCACACAGACUGCACGCUAUGAGAGACAGGAAAAGAGAAAACGGCAAAGGACUGACAGUACACCUGCGAGGAUGAGACAGCUAUUGAUGACCUUGUUCCACCCGUGGAGACACCAGCACCAGCUGAGGAUGGAGCUGAGCAGACACCGCUGACAGAAUGUGACUUCUGUCAGCGCCGGCGUGCUGAAAUCAACCGGCUGCUGGAGGAGAACAGGACCCUGAAACGUCUUGCACUCUCAGCGCAUUAAUGAGACUCCCCUGAAGCCAUGGGUCAUCAUUGCUGACGAUGGGCAGGUUUGCUGUGCACACUGUACAUGCAUGGCUGGAAUUGCAGAGGCAUGUACACAUGUUGGGGCUCUGCUGUUUAAGAUUGAGGCAGCAGUCCGCAUCCGUGGGAAAAAGACUGUGACAGAUGUGCCAGCUUAUUGGAAAAUACCAGCAGGUAUCAACAAAGUCAGCGGUGAAGUCGCCCACAAGAUGGACUUCACUUCAUCCAAAGUGCAGAGGAUUGCUCUGGACAGAGUCAUCGAUGACAACAUUCCCAUGCCUGGCCUACGGACACGGGCCAGCAGACGCACUGCCCAAGCCACAUUGGACGACUUAUCGUCAAUGUUCCCUGUUCUUCAGAACCAUAGGUCAGUUUGUAUGUCCACAGUGAAGCCCUACUUUCACAACUAUGCUGCUCCUGUCCAGCCAGCUGUGAUCCCAAAACCCCUGCAAGACCGUCUGCGCGACCCAAAGUUUGAAAAUGCUCCACCAGCUGUCCUUCUCCAGCACUGUGAGACAGUGAAAGACAUUGCAGCUGCAUAUUAUU